UCGAAACCAAAACACAUGGUUCCUUUGAUUAUGAGAAACCAACAUGCAAGAUUUUUCACGACUUUGUCGUGAAACGUUGGGAGUAUCACCCCCGUUAAAGCUCUAUAUUUGAGGUGUCUAUGUAUGACAUGAGUCGUUCAUGAGUGGCGACUGUGAUUGUUCAUGCAAAGUUCCCAUUCCAAUGGUUGGUUAUGGUUGAGCUUGAGACUUAAUGAGUAUUGCUAUAAUACCGCCUCAUUGCAUUUAUAAUGGUGGUUAUGUACAUACGUGUAGUAUGUACGGUACCUGGUUGUCAGGAAACCUUAAUGAUCUCGCCUAGACGCCAUUAUAAAACACAACUUUUUAUGUUUAAAGUUUGCAGAAAUGUGUACACAGAAAUGUGUCACAAUUGACUAGCUUCAGCGAUGGAUCGGUCGAUUCGCGUAUCGAUGAAAAACGCAGCUAGCUGCGUUAUUUACCACGAAUUGCAGACGCUUAGAGUGGUAAAAUUUUGAACGCAUAGCGCCGUUGGGUUUUCCCUUCGGCACGUCUGGUUCAGGGUUGUUAAUGAAACUACUACAGUGUGGCUAGUUUAUAACACUGUUUGUCGAAUGGUAUUUAUUACUUUAUUGUGAUAAUUCCCAUUCCAGUUCAAGAAUAUGAAAUGCAACAUGACGUUAACAUUGUUAACGUUACUGAAUGAUACUGAAUAUAUUACCACUAUUUGAAUGUACUCAAUGAAUAUGAGAUUGAUUCAAAUAGGGACAUGUAUGGUAUUGUAUAUUCAAUGUAUCAUUUAUAUAUUGCAACCUGAACUCAGGCGUGAUUACCCGCUGAACUUAAGCAUAUCAUUUAGCGGAGGAAAAGAAACUAAC
rnacentral:rRNA from 1 species